UACUCACAUGCUAGAACUAUGGUGAGUUUGAGGAAGACUGUUGACACAUACGGAGUAUCAUCUUAUGCCGGAUCGGCUAUGUAGGUGUAGGUGGUGAAGGGCAUUGGAACCACAACGGUUCUUGACUCGGAUAGGUAAUUAACUAGCCAAUCGUGCAUGCGGUUAUAGUUCAUUAGUUGCUCGAUAGCGGCUCCAACAAGUGGCCAAGUUUUCGGGCCUUUGUUGGUUCGUUGGCUCCAUCGGUGAAGGAAGAUCCAUGCGAAGACCGAACAUGCGAAAAUCAAGAUACUUGUUUCCAUCCUAUUAAGUUUAAAAUGAAAGUGUAUGAGUUUGU
rnacentral:lncRNA from 1 species